rnacentral:rRNA from 1 species
AUUGAACGCUGGCGGCAUGCCUUACACAUGCAAGUCGAACGGCAGCGGGCCUUCGGGUGCCGGCGAGUGGCGAACGGGUGAGUAAUGCAUCGGAACGUGCCAUUGAGUGGGGGAUAACGUAGCGAAAGUUGCGCUAAUACCGCAUAUUCUGUGAGCAGGAAAGCAGGGGACCGCAAGGCCUUGCGCUCUUUGAGCGGCCGAUGUCAGAUUAGCUAGUUGGUGAGGUAAAGGCUUACCAAGGCGACGAUCUGUAGCGGGUCUGAGAGGAUGAUCCGCCACACUGGAACUGAGACACGGUCCAGACUCCUACGGGAGGCAGCAGUGGGGAAUUUUGGACAAUGGGCGCAAGCCUGAUCCAGCCAUUCCGCGUGAGUGAAGAAGGCCUCGGUUGUAAGA